rnacentral:rRNA from 1 species
AUGAGGUGCUUGCACCUUAUCUUAGCGGCGGACGGGUGAGUAAUGCUUAGGAAUCUGCCUAUUAGUGGGGGACAACAUUCCGAAAGGAAUGCUAAUACCGCGUACGUCCUACGGGAGAAAGCAGGGGAUCUUCGGACCUUGCGCUAAUAGAUGAGCCUAAGUCGGAUUAGCUAGUUGGUGGGGUAAAGGCCUACCAAGGCGACGAUCUGUAGCGGGUCUGAGAGGAUGAUCCGCCACACUGGGACUGAGACACGGCCCAGACUCCUACGGGAGGCAGCAGUGGGGAAUAUUGGACAAUGGGGGGGACCCUGAUCCAGCCAUGCCGCGUGUGUGAAGAAGGCCUUAUGGUUGUAAAGCACUUUAAGCGAGGAGGAGGCUACUGAGACUAAUACUCUUGGAUAGUGGACGUUACUCGCAGAAUAAGCACCGGCUAACUCUGUGCCAGCAGCCGCGGUAAUACAGAGGGUGCGAGCGUUAAUCGGAUUUACUGGGCGUAAAGCGUGCGUAGGCGGCUUUUUAAGUCGGAUGUGAAAUCCCCGAGCUUAACUUGGGAAUUGCAUUCGAUACUGGGAAGCUAGAGUAUGGGAGAGGAUGGGUAGAAUUCCAGGUGUAGCGGUGAAAUGCGUAGAGAUCUGGAGGAAUACCGAUGGCG